rnacentral:lncRNA from 1 species
CAGAAUCCUUUUCUGAAAAGACUAAAGGGGGAAUAUGAUACCUGCUAAGCAGCAUAUGCUUCCAUCUCCUGACCCCCAAAGAAACUGCCCAGGUUCCUGAUUAGGGCUGGCCCUCGGGCUCUGCUCGGGUGUCUGACAUUGCAGUUGGGCUCUGUGGCAGGAAGGAUCACACAGAUGCGAGCCACAGGGAUGCUAGAGGGUCUAUUUUCAAGAGACUGGGCUGCGAGCAAGUCACAGACAAAACCAAAGAACACAACCCAUCGCCCUAGAGCACCACUUUUCAGCUCCUGAUGGGUUUGGCCUCUGUCCUCCCUGCUUUUGUGGAUUUCUGAUUGCCAAACCUGGUGUUGCUCUGUCUACCAGGAAAAUGAACUCAAUGAAGAGAGCCAAAGGAAGUUCAGGUGCUAUAAAGCAGGACACUCUAAAAAUGAAAGUUGUUUCUGUACUUGGUUCAGCUGAUAAGAGGGAAGUAAAUCCAUCAAACAAUAAAAUAUUGAAUGUUCU